rnacentral:lncRNA from 1 species
GGCCGGGGUAUUGUCUUCCAUGAUGCUUCCAGCUGAGACUUCAUACACAGAAAAGUAGAGAAACAGUACAGUAUGAAUAAUGGGAAAAAAGGUGGUGUUUCUUCUCCACCGAGUCUUGGCGGAAAUCAUGUGAUCGCAGAUAUACAGGCAACUAAAAGACGUGAGAUUUCUUGCUGAUCAUCAGUUUUCUUCUUUAUCUCUGCUCCUUCCAUUAACAGGUAGUGGCUGUCUAUCAAUGUUGCUCUCAGUCUUCACCAAUAUAAAACCGAUUAGAGAUGAGUGGAGCAAAGCCAUCGAGGCCUGAGUUCCCAAGAAAAGUGGUGUCUUAUUAUCAUGGAUAUGUGCAUUUUGGUGCCACCAUCCAGGGGACAGUGCAAGAUAGCAACGGCCACCGCAGAUAUUGCCUCUAAUCCAUCCAAUUUAGCUCUUUUUUUUCUCCCUCAAAACCACGUUUGAAAGACAGCGAAAUGCCGUUCACAGCAUCUUGCCUUCUUAUCAAAUACCUUUUGUUUACCCAAGUUUUUAGAGUGAUCGAGAUUGCAAGCAACCUUAGAAAAUGAUGGUUUUUACAUGUAAAUCUUUCGUUUUCUUCAAGUUGCUUAAGUUAUCUUCUUUCCCUCCUUGUUAAUGAUGGUUUUUUAUAUCUAAAGCAACUUUUCAUUUUAUUUUUUGCUGCAUGUAUUACCGUUUUAUAUUAUUUAGAAAGAAAGC